AAUCUUCCACAAUGGGCGAAAGCUUGAUGGAGCAACGCCGCGUGAGGGAAGAAGGUUUUCUGAUCGUAACACUCUGCUGUAAGGGAAAAACAAGUACAGUAGUACCUGGCUGUACAUUUACGGUACCUAAUUAGAAAGCCACGGCUAACUCGGUACCUGCAGCCGCGGUAAUACGUAGGUGGCAAGCGUUGUCCGGAAUUAUUGGGCGUAAAGCGCGCGCAAGCAGUCGUUUAAGUCUGAUGUGAAAGCCCACGGCUCAACCGUGGAGGGUCAUUGGAAACUGGGGGAAUUGAGUGCAGAAGAGGAAAGUGGAAUUCCAAGUGUAGCGGUGAAAUGCGUAGAGAUUUGGAGGAACACCAGUGGCGAAGGCGACUUUCUGGUCUGUAACUGACGAUGAGGCGCGAAAGCGUGGGGAGCAAACAGG
rnacentral:rRNA from 1 species